rnacentral:rRNA from 1 species
CAGAAGGGAGCUUGCUCCCGGAUGUUAGCGGCGGACGGGUGAGUAACACGUGGGUAACCUGCCUGUAAGACUGGGAUAACUCCGGGAAACCGGAGCUAAUACCGGAUAGUUCCUUGAACCGCAUGGUUCAAGGAUGAAAGACGGUUUCGGCUGUCACUUACAGAUGGACCCGCGGCGCAUUAGCUAGUUGGUGGGGUAAUGGCUCACCAAGGCGACGAUGCGUAGCCGACCUGAGAGGGUGAUCGGCCACACUGGGACUGAGACACGGCCCAGACUCCUACGGGAGGCAGCAGUAGGGAAUCUUCCGCAAUGGACGAAAGUCUGACGGAGCAACGCCGCGUGAGUGAUGAAGGUUUUCGGAUCGUAAAGCUCUGUUGUUAGGGAAGAACAAGUGCGAGAGUAACUGCUCGCACCUUGACGGUACCUAACCAGAAAGCCACGGCUAACUACGUGCCAGCAGCCGCGGUAAUACGUAGGUGGCAAGCGUUGUCCGGAAUUAUUGGGCGUAAAGGGCUCGCAGGCGGUUUCUUAAGUCUGAUGUGAAAGCCCCCGGCUCAACCGGGGAGGGUCAUUGGAAACUGGGAAACUUGAGUGCAGAAGAGGAGAGUGGAAUUCCACGUGUAGCGGUGAAAUGCGUAGAGAUGUGGAGGAACACCAGUGGCGAAGGCGACUCUCUGGUCUGUAACUGACGCUGAGGAGCGAAAGCGUGGGGAGCGAACAGGAUUAGAUACCCUGGUAGUCCACGCCGUACACGAUGAGUGCUAAGUGUUAGGGGGUUUCCGCCCCUUAGUGCUGCAGCUAACGCAUUAAGCACUCCGCCUGGGGAGUACGGUCGCAAGACUGAAACUCAAAGGAAUUGACGGGGGCCCGCACAAGCGGUGGAGCAUGUGGUUUAAUUCGAAGCAACGCGAAGAACCUUACCAGGUCUUGACAUCCUCUGACAACCCUAGAGAUAGGGCUUUCCCUUCGGGGA